GACGAACGCUGGCGGCGUGCUUAACACAUGCAAGUCGAACGGUGAAAGCGGAGCUUGCUCCGCUGGAUCAGUGGCAAACGGGUGAGUAACACGUGGGCAACCUGCCCCUCACUUCGGGAUAACUCCGGGAAACCGGGGCUAAUACCGGAUCUGACCUCCUUGGGCAUCCUUGGAGGUGGAAAGUUGUUCGGUGAGGGAUGGGCCCGCGGCCUAUCAGGUUGUUGGUGAGGUAGUGGCUCACCAAGGCGACGACGGGUAGCCGGCCUGAGAGGGCGGCCGGCCACACUGGGACUGAGACACGGCCCAGACUCCUACGGGAGGCAGCAGUGGGGAAUAUUGCGCAAUGGGCGAAAGCCUGACGCAGCAACGCCGCGUGCGGGAUGACGGCCUUCGGGUUGUAAACCGCUUUCAGCAGGGAAGAAGCCGCAAGGUGACGGUACCUGCAGAAGAAGCACCGGCUAACUACGUGCCAGCAGCCGCGGUAACAC
rnacentral:rRNA from 1 species